CGGACAGUGUCUGGUGGGUAGUUUGACUGGGGCGGUCUCCUCCUAAAGAGUAACGGAGGAGCACGAAGGUUGGCUAAUCCUGGUCGGACAUCAGGAGGUUAGUGCAAUGGCAUAAGCCAGCUUGACUGCGAGCGUGACGGCGCGAGCAGGUGCGAAAGCAGGUCAUAGUGAUCCGGUGGUUCUGAAUGGAAGGGCCAUCGCUCAACGGAUAAAAGGUACUCCGGGGAUAACAGGCUGAUACCGCCCAAGAGUUCAUAUCGACGGCGGUGUUUGGCACCUCGAUGUCGGCUCAUCACAUCCUGGGGCUGAAGUAGGUCCCAAGGGUAUGGCUGUUCGCCAUUUAAAGUGGUACGCGAGCUGGGUUUAGAACGUCGUGAGACAGUUCGGUCCCUAUCUGCCGUGGGCGCUGGAGAACUGAGGGGGGCUGCUCCUAGUACGAGAGGACCGGAGUGGACGCAUCACUGGUGUUCGGGUUGUCAUGCCAAUGGCACUGCCCGGUAGCUAAAUGCGGAAGAGAUAAGUGCUGAAAGCAUCUAAGCACGAAACUUGCCCCGAGAUGAGUUCUCCCUGAGACUUUAAGUCUCCUGAAGGAACGUUGAAGACGACGACGUUGAUAGGCCGGGUGUGUAAGCGCAGCGAUGCGUUGAGCUAACCGGUACUAAUGAACCGUGAGGCUUAACCUUACAACGCCGAAG
rnacentral:rRNA from 1 species